CCUAAAGUAUGUUAUCUGGUCGGACUGUAUAGGUUGGGACUUUUGCAAUUUCCUUCGAUAAUAUGACAGAGAUAUUGCACUCGUCCCGGCCUGUAUGUCGCGACUAUGCUCAUCCAUUGCGUGC
rnacentral:pre_miRNA from 14 species